rnacentral:lncRNA from 1 species
GACAAAAAAAUUACAUAAAAGUCACUACAAUACACUUAAGUUACUGAAGUGUUUCUCUAAUAUCAACAUGAACAAAAAGACAACAAAUAAUACCAAAAUAAAAAAAAAAAAGAUAGAGAGAGAAACACUACAGUAAAAAUUCACCCCUUAAUAUAAGACCAAAUAAAAUUUCAAAAUUCACCUAAGGGGGGAAUUUAAUUUUCUUGUAAUUAUGUUUCAUAAUGCAAUAGAUAGAUUAAGAUUAACAUUUUGUUUUUCAGAUGAAGAAUGCCAAACAUUCCAGUUUAAGCCUCCUGAGUAUGAAGAAAUUGUUUCACUAAUCUCACUUAUUAUGGACGAUGCGUUGCUUCUCUGAGUCGUAGGACGAUGCAAUGAGAGAGACAACGAUAAUCCACGUUCAUCCUCUUCUUCUUCUUCUUCUUCUUCUUGAACAUUAUCUAUCUUCAUCGAGCCCUCAAAUUUGAGUCUCUUUGAUGAAUCCCUAUUUGAAUCUUGUGUCUUCAUUACCUAAGCAACAAAAAAUUUGAUGUACAUACUAUCAGUAUAGUUUAACAUGUUAAACUAAGUAGAUGGUUGAUUAUCUAAACGUUGUUCGUAUACAAAGGUUAAACUCAAUUGUAAACUAACAUAUUUUGUAAUGAUAAGAUAUAAACUUAUGAUGUCAAGUACAUUACUUUUGAAGCAUCAGAUACGUACCUAAUGAUUUAUUCUAAAAAGUUCGAACAACAUAGCUAAUAAUUUUGACCUUAACUCUAACUCUGCUAAAUUAGAGAUUAUUUUUCUUGGUAAUGCCACACCAAAUGUUGUUGAAUGUUGAAUUAUGUUCUAAUAAGUCCAAAAGCCAAAAGGUCUUUUUAUUAAUGUUAUAUGAUGAAAAUUUUCAAAUAUCUUAAUGCACUGCUCAUUUUGUGAAAAAAAAUGUACCAAAAAAACUACUCAUUACUUAUUAAAUAAAUAUGGUCCACCAAAAUAAAUGCACUGCUGCCUUCAUAUUUGUACCAUACUAUAUUGUAUUAAAUACCACUUGGAUUUUUUUUGUUAUAAUAUAAGAUCUCAAAGAGAUUUUGAAAUAUUCUUCAAUUUCCCUUCCACAUUUGCAUGGUUUUCUAAAUGUACUAUAUAUUAACAACCAUAAAAAAUUUUGUCAAAUGCUGAGGUUAUUGUAUGAAGAAAAUACAAAAACUUAGGUAGUAUAGAAAGACUAAUUAAUGUUGGAUUAUAAUUGCAAAGCAUGGAAAUUCCAUUUCCCUAUCAACAUGUUUAUUCAUGUCAAAACAUGACCAAUGCACAAUAAAUACACUCUCAACAACCCAUCCAACAAAUAAUAUAUAUAUUUGAAAUUUUAUAUCUAAUAUCGACGUAGAUAUAUUUGAACGACCAGAUCACUUAAAAGAUAUAACUAUUGGUGAAUUUACAUAAUAAACGAGAUAAUAGACCUAUAAAAUGAGGCAUGCAACUCCCACGAAACAAGAAUUAGCAAUACAAAAUUUUAGUAGCUAGACAGCAAAAAUUAGUUUUCCAAUCUUUUUAAUUUUCUUUUGGGGGGGUGGGGGGUGGGCAAUGUAUCUAACCAUACUUGAUUUAUUUUCUUCUCAAGGAAAAAAAACAAAAAAAAUAUUAUUAGAAAAAAGUAGGAAAAAACAAGAGAAGAGAAAGCAACAUUAACUUUAUCUGUCAACUACUUACUAGUGUACCUAAUACCCUAUAGAAUGAAGACUUAAUAGGCUUUGCCAGUUGUAGACACCAUGUUGAAGAUUCAAGCAAAGAAUUUACUGGCAAAGCUAGACAAAAAGAAGAAAAAAAAAUACAAGUAUGAUGUAUGACUAGAGUUGGAACUUGAAAGUAGACCUACAUAAAAUAGUAUUCCUUAUUAUUUUCGUUCCAAUUUACGUGACACUUUCAGCUUUUUUGAGAGUUUAUAAUUUGGCUAACUGUCAAAACUAAACUAGAUUACAUAAACUCAAAAUACUCUCUCCAUCCAAAUUCAUUUUUAGUCUGUUUCAAAUAGUAUGUUACAUUCCUAUAUAUUGAGUAAAGAUUUCUCUAUUAUCGUUAAUGGAAUGAUUUAGAAUCAUACAAAUUGUCAAAUAACAUCUUAUACUACAAAUUUCAAAAAGAAUAAAUCUUUUUUUCUUACACUUUGAGCUAAGUCGAGCAGUUUCACAUAAAUUGAGACAAAGAAAAUAUUAUGAAAUUAAAAUUCUGAAUAUUUUAAAACUAAACAAAAAGAAUCAUACGUAAGCAUAUUCUUCGUGCAAUAAAAUAUGUUAAAAUGUUGAUCAAAGUUCACAUAGAUUGAUCAAAUUCUAUAUUUAUGUUUAAAAGUCCUCUUUAUUAUGUACCUCAAUUCAAAAUCUAUAAACUAAAAAAAUCCAGACUCCGUCUCUAAUAACACAAAUAGUACACUCAACCUUGUGUUCUAGUAAAAAAAAAGCUGCACAAAGGAAACUACCCCUACUAUUUCUACUACUACUACUAAUACCAAGACUUAUAACUAGCAGUUUAAUUUGAACAAACAAAUAAAAAAAGUAUAUUGGAAUAUGUACCUUGAAAAAUUGAGAUUCUUGAAGUUCAUUGCUUGUUGUAAGAGGAUUAAAGAUAUGAGUAGUACUAUUGCACAAUGGUUGUGCUGUUUCAUUUUUCUCAGCUGCCAUAAUACUAUGGAUAUUAUAAUCAUUUCUACUGUUGUACUCAUUACUCACUGCUUCACGUAUUCUCUGGCUGCUGCACCUCUCUAUUCUAGUCCUGUAUAAAAUAAAUUCAUCAAACAAAAAGUUGUUAUUUUUAUAGUUACUAAUGUCACUUGUUACCAGUUAGUUAUCUAUAACUCAACUCUUUAAAAAUAUAAUUAGAGUGUGUUAUAUUUCUAGAGGAUAUGAUAUGAGUAUGAUAAUAUUUUUUUGUAGAGUUCGAGAAACAUGAUUGACAAUGUAUGUAGAACUAAAGACUUUUUUCAUGGUCAGUGUUACUUGACGUGCGAACACAUUUUAUGUGUAGAGUGUUAAAAAUAUUAUCGGAUGUGUAUCAUAUAUUUUUAAAGCAUAGUAGUAUGUAUUUUUAAGGAUCCAUUAUGGGAGAGACAACAUUUUUAAAGGGUUUAAUAUGGGUGCAACCACAUUUAUGAAGGAUCUGAGUAAUAUAGCUAUAGUUAUAUUUUAAGGGGUCAAUUGGUUGGUGGUAUGAUAUAGACAAAUAUAUUGUAUGAGAUUAUUUUAUCUCGUGGAAUAUAUGAGAUAACCUAUACUACUAUUUAUAUUAAUAAAAUAAUUUGAGACUAAAUAAUAUCCAUUACCAAACACGGAAAAAAGAGAUUUAAAAAUAUCUAAAAAUUAUUAUUCUUAUCCCGCCGAUUAAACCACAGAUAAGUGAUAUAAUAGUGUAGAAUUUCUUUUAGAUUAUCAAAUAUAAGAGUCUGAAAAAGUUUAAAAGGAAAGAUAAUAAUGCCAUAUCAAAAUGCAUAAAUGCAAAAUCCUUUUUGUUUCUUAGCAAAAAAACACUUUAUAACAUGGGAAACUGAGGCCAACAAAAGAGUACAAAAUUACCUUUUUGUUGGUUGAACACUGUUAAAGUAUGGUGUAGAAUCUGUUCUCUCCAUAUUGGGGCUGCUGCUAAAAGAUAAUGGAUAUUGGUAAACCAUAAGCUUUUGUUGUUCAACACACCCUUCAUCUUCUUGUUGUUGAUAAUGACAAUCAAAAUCCUCUAAAGACACUUGUUUUCUUGGUUGAAUACUCAUUCUCUCUGCUAUUAGUCAAACACAACAAAAAAUGUUUACGAUUAGAGUCUCUAUCAGAAACAAUCUUUCUACUAUCAUAAGUCAGCGUCUCAAUACAUCACUUGUGGAAUUAUACCGAGUCUAUCAAAAACAGUCUUUUUAUUCCCACAAGUCUAUGUAUAUUGCAAAAGAAACAUGCAUUCAUUGGGAAAGAAAUAAAGGAUAUGCAAUAAAUGAAAGUGAGAUAUUGAGAUUAUUUCCACAAACAUGUUUACAUGUUGGAUAUGCACAAAUGUGAAAAAAAGCAAAGAUCAAGAAAGUCUAAUAGAGGAAACAAAAAAGAUAUGGUCAAUUAAUCCAUAAUGAAAGAACAUUUAAUAUACUAGUACUAGUAUAGUAUAACAAUGAACAUUAAUAUAUAUACCUUGCUUGUUGACAUCACUCUUCAUGCUUCUAUACAUCUGUUUUCAUGUAAACAAGUGUUACUUAUAAUAAAGUCUUGAACUUUACAAACUUUAUAAAAUAAAAAAGGAUCUUUAACCUGAAGAUGGCUUUUGACAUGAGAAAUAGUAAGUCCUCUCACAUCCAUCAUUUGAAGAACAAGCUUAGGAGUAGCCUCUAUACAUAUAUUAGCACCAAAACAAAAAGUCAAAAACAAGUAUGACAAUGUUACGUAGAAUGUAAGCAGGACUUACCACUAACUCAUUCGAUAAAAGAGAAAAUUAGUGAGUUUAAAAACUUACUGUCUUGGCCACCAAGUUUUUCAAUAGCAUGAACAAAACAAUGAUGAAGAUCAGGUGUCCAUCUCAAACGUGGAACUUUUGAUCUUAUGUAUUGUCUAACACCUCCAUUUCUUCCACAAUUUCCCAUUCUCUUUUUUAGCUCAAAUAUCAAAAAGGGUAUCUCCAAGACUCCUUUUUUCCCACAAAAAACCACUUCAAAAUCCAAAGGGGUAUGAUCAAGACUCAAUUUUUACCUCAAAAAUCACUUCAAAAUCCAAAAGGGUAUGAUCAAGACUCCAUUUUUACCUCAAAAAUCACUUCAAAUAUCAAAAAGGGUAUCUUCAAGAUUCCUUUUUUUCCACAAAAACCACUUCAAAAUCAAAAAGGGUAUGAUCAAGACUCUAUUUUUACCUCAAAAAUCACUCCAAAUAUCAAAAGGGUAUCUUCAAAUUCCUUUUUUCCACAAAACCACUUCAAAAUCCAAAGGGGUAUGAUCAAGACUCUAUUUUACCUCAAAAAUCACUUCAAAUAUCAAAAAGGGUAUCUUCAAAUUCCUUUUUUCCACAAAACCACUUCAAAAUCCAAAAGGGUAUGAUCAAGACUCUAUUUUACCUCAAAAAUCACUCCAAUAUCAAAGGGUAUCUUCAAAUUCCUUUUUUCCACAAAACCACUUCAAAAUCCAAAGGGGUAUGAUCAAGACUCUAUUUUUACCUCAAAAAUCACUCCAAAUAUCAAAAGGGUAUCUUCAAAAUUCCUUUUUUUCCACAAAAACCACUUCAAAAUCCAAAAGGAUAUGAUCAAGACUCCUUUUUCCCCACAAAAAUCACUUCUAAACCCAAAAGGGUAUCACCAAGACUCCUUUUUCCCCACAAAAACCACUUCAAAAUCCAAAAGGGUAUGAUCAAGACUCCAUUUUUACCUCAAAAAACACUUCAAAACCCAAAAGGGUAUCUUCAAGACUCCUUUUUGAAUGAAGAAAAAUGAUUUUUACCCAAGUUCUUUUUUUCCAUAUUGAGGUUGAACAAGAAGGUGAUAUUUGAAGUUAGAAAAGAGUAGGUAUUUUGGCAAUCCCGUUGGAAAUGUCUAGGUUUAAAGCAACAAAAAAAGGUACAAUUAUUACUUUUACCUGUAGAAAGAGAAAAAAAUAAAGAUCACGAGAAAAUGAAAUUCCUUGUCAAAAAUAUUUCACUCUGUCUGCAAAAAAAAAUAAAAAAUUGUAAUAUGUCUAUAUAUGUAUUUUGUUUUCACUCUGAUAAAGAGAAAUGAUUACAAAUAUACAAAUAGUAGAAGCAACUGAUGCGCUGAUACUUUGACUCUCUUUGCUUUCUCAUCAUCACAUAUGCCCUCCCUACAUAUUACUAUCGUCGUUUCCUUUCAUUUUAAGUGACACCAUUAUUACUGCACAUUUGAUAUUUAAUUUAGAAAUUGUUAAAUUUCAAAUUCAAUAAUUAAUAAUUAAAUAUUAAUAUCAAGUAGUAGUAAAUUUUGAUUUGAUAUAGUAUUUAGUAAUACCAUAUUGAAAUUGUAGCUGAUUGCUUCAAUUAUUUCUAUCUCUUUAUGAAGAAGCACGAUAUUUUAGUCCGUAAACUUAUACUAAUGAGUAAUGAACAUGUUGGUAUAUGACAUUCAUUGAGUAAUAAUAAUGCGGUAUUUAGUUUCAAAUAUCAAAUGAUACUAAUGUCUUAUAUCUAAUUCAAAUACGAAUACUAUAAGGUAAAAAAGGUUGUGGGAUUCGGUAAUUUAAUUUUUGAUAUUUUAUGCGAAUUCUAUGCAAUAAUAUAUGUCGGAAAUCAUAUAAGACACAAAAUUAUCACAUAAAACAUAUUGUGUUUAUUUGUUCAAUUUUUAUAUCUUUCUUUUUAAAUGUAUAAUUUUAUGUGUUUUUUAAGUUUUUUUUUUUAAUUCAUUUCUGUAUUUAAUUAUACUUUUCGUAUUGUUUUAAAAUAUUUUAUAAUAUUUUAUUUUUUUUGAAAAAUGAUUCUUUAUUUCGUAUUAUAAUAAGACAAGUAGACCGACAUGAUCAGAUGUACAAGACACCACGUUUUACUCAAUUGGAUACACAUUUUGUUUAUUCAAUUAAAUAAAUAAAAAUAUCAGUAUAAAUUAAUGUAUUUGGUCAAUAAUUUGUCUUUUAAAAAAAAUAAUUAACGACUAUCAAUCAUAAAUGCAGUUCAUAACAUUAAGAUAAUCAAAUAAUUAACAUUUAUAUUAAAUUACAUUUUAAACUCUAGUCUAAAUAGAAUGAUAUUACGUAACAAAUUUUAUAUAUACGAUUUAGACUAUCUACUUAUCGAUGCAUAGUUAUUAUUAUCUAUUUCCCACCUCAAUUUCAUAAUCAUAAUUAGACUAACAAAAUGAAGAAUAAUUUAAUUAAAAUUAAUUUGAAAACAAUCUCAGACUAUACACCAUCAAAUUUUGUGGUAAAAUAGUAAGUAUUUUUUAUAAAUAUUCAUCUAUCUUUAAUCCGAGGUCUAUUGACCCCCNNNNNNNNNNNNNNNNNNNNNNNNNNNNNNNNNNNNNNNNNNNNNNNNNNNNNNNNNNNNNNNNNNNNNNNNNNNNNNNNNNNNNNNNNNNNNNNNNNNNNNNNNNNNNNNNNNNNNNNNNNNNNNNNNNNNNNNNNNNNNNNNNNNNNNNNNNNNNNNNNNNNNNNNNNNNNNNNNNNNNNNNNNNNNNNNNNNNNNNNNNNNNNNNNNNNNNNNNNNNNCCCCCCCCCCCCCUUUCCCUCCACCUCCAUGACUCCACCCCUUUCAUAUGUGAAUUUAAAUUACUCUAACUUCAAAGUGAAUAUAAAACACUAUGUAGAACACACACACACCCUCUCCCUCCACCCCCACCUCCAUGGCUCCACCUCUUUUUAGAUGUGAAUUUAAAUUACUUUAACUUCAAAGCGAAUAUCAAACACUACGGUCUACGUAGAACCCCCUACCCCCUCUCCGCUCAUUCCACCUCCACCACUUUUCAUCUGAAUUCAAAUUAAUCUAACCUCAAAGUGAAUACCAAACACUACAUAGUACUCCCACCCCCUAGAUUCAAGGUCGGAAGAAUCGAAAACAGAUUCGAAAAUAGAAUCCCCCACCCCCUCCAAGAAAAAUAAUAAAUAAAGACCGAGGCUAUUAUAAGGAGAAGUAUUCCUUCUGUCCAAAUUUAUGUUUGUCUAAAAAUAAUGAUUAUAUUUCUAUGAUUCGAAAUAACAUAACUUAAAUUUUCUUUAUCCCUAGAUAAAAUAAUUUAUAUUCAUAAAAGUGGUCAAGAAAUGUUUUAAAUUGCAAAAUUUCAUAUUUUUUUAUUUUUUAUAUCAAUUACAAAUGAAAUCUUAAGAGUCAAAGAAAAAAUGGUCCUUUUUCUUUCUUUUCACAAAGUCCUUUUUCUUUCUUUUCACAAAGUCAAGACUUCAAGACAGACAAAAGUCAACUUUACCUAAAACAAAGGCAAAAGAUAGUAAUAGAAAGAGUCCAAACAAAGAAAAAGUCAUCAAAGGACAAAUAGAAACUAAUCAAUGAAAUCCUAACCGUUCAAUAAAUUUCUUUUAUUGGAAAUCAACGGUAGAAAGACGAAGAGAGAGUAAGGACAAGAUGGUAAAUUAGUCAAAAGACGGAUUUGUUAGCCGGUGCCAAUUAUUUGAAAAAUCAAAUUACCCAUUAAAAAAAAAAGCAUCCUUAUUUUCUUGCACUUCAAAUGCCAAUGUUGAAAUUUUUCCUAAUAAUAAUAAUAUAAAUUUCCAUUAUUUUUUUAAAUAUUGCAUAUUAUUUGCUAUAACAUACUUAAUCCUAUCAUCUUGUUAUACUUUUUGUAUGAAAAAAUUCAAAUUUGCCACUGUAUUAUUUGAAAUUGCCAAUAUUUAUCAUUCGUUAUGCUUUUGAUUGAGAGUAAAAACAAUGGUGUAUAUUUAGAAUACUCUAUUCGUUACACUUUUGGUUGUUGUUUUUCUUACUUAUGAUGUGAUAUUAUUAAUAAUACUACUAAAUUUUUGUCAAGUUGUAUUCAAUUUUUCUAGAGAUUUUCGAUUAAAGUAGUCAGAAAUCUAAUUUUGAUCACCCGAAGAACAUUUCCAACGGAUUUCCCAUUGAAUUCGUUGGAGAGUUCUCAAUAUUUUCACAAAAAUAACAACUCUCCAACUAUUACAAUAUCAGAUUUAGUGUACUUAACCUCAUAAGUUUAGUUUGAGAAGAAUAGGAUAUACACAUUUCUAUUUCUAUCAUAGCGGAGUGGAGUAAUAAUAAGCAAAUCCUCUACUCAAAAAAAGUAUAAUUAAAGCAUGAUCGCAAGGAAAACGGCGAUAGCAAGAUGAAUAGCACGUAAUAGUAAAAAAAAUGAAAAAAAGCAACAUACGCAAAGACUAAUUAAUACUGCUAAACAAGGAGAUCUAGAAGAUGAGAAGAAGAGACUAACCCCUGCCUUUUCUGCAUAAAAAUAUGACAACACUAAGCUACAUACUAUUCUUUUAUUUAUUUCAAUUUUUUUAGAAAACAAGCACAUUAGUUUAUCAAUCAAUAAUUUCUCCGAAGUUUGAUUAUCUAUUUAAAGAAAAGAGAGCUAUUUUCUGUUUUUCCCCACGUAUAUAGAAGUUCCAUAAUUGCAAGAUCUAUCCAAAAGGUAAGAAAUAAUUCUCAAACUACAAGUCAAACUUUGAGUGUUCUAGACACCAGAGAAACCCCACAGAUUUUACAUAAUACUCCCUCCGUUCACUUUUACUUGUCCAUAUUUCCUUUUUUGGUUGUCCCUAUUUAGUUGUCCAUUUUGACAAAUCAAGAAAGGACAACAAAUUUUUUCCUAUUAUACCCUUAUUUACACUUCUUGAAAAUUGUAAAAGUGUAUGUUGUUUCCCUCCAAUUUAUUUCACUUGAAUUCAAAUAAGUGGUUGUAAUUUUGAAGUGAAAAGUUGUCAUAAGGGUAAAAUUGUAACUUCAUUGUGCUAAUCAUUGUUGCCUUAAUCUGUGUGCCAUUUCUAAAGUGGACAACUAAAAAGGGACGGAGGGAGUAUAAUUUUUGAUAUUUAUAAUUUUUUAUCUAGAGUUAUGUCCACAUUAAGAUGAAAUAUGUCAAGUUAUGUUUAAUUACCUCCACUUAAUCUUCUUUGGCCUACUUAAUUUUAACUCUCCUAAAAUUUGUUAUAGUCAAUCUCUCACACCUCUUUAUUGAUGCAUUCACGCACUUGGUAAUAUUCAUAUGCAUGUCUGAGCCAUGUCAACCUCAUUUUCUUCCUCUUGUCUUCCGUAGAGGCAACUCUCACCUUGUUCUACAUAACUUUGUUCCUAAGCAUAUCUGUCUUAAUAUGCCUACACUAUAUCUAAGCAUUAUCAUCUUUGUUAUCUUCGUAUUCUGAAAGUGCACAUUCUUCACUAGCGAAUACUUUAUCCCAUACAAUAAUGUAGGUUUAAUCAUCACUCUGUAGAACUUAACUUCAAAUCAGAGUGAUACAUUGUUAUCACACAGUACCCCUUUGAUCCAAUAGGAUGCACGACAUAAUUAGUAGUCUCUUUAUUUUUUGGAGUAUAGAUUCUAGAUACUUGAAACUUUGUCUUUUGUGACUUGUAUAUCGAUCUUCACUCUCGUAUAUACACUUCAUAUGUUACAUCAUUAAACUUAUACUUUAGUCUCUAAGUACUUCGUUUUAAUCUUGUUCAUCCUAAACAUAGAUUCUAGGAUUUCAGCCUAUCAUUACCUUCAGUCCUCCACCAUCCAUCUCGUUGAUCAAUAUAAUAUUAUUUGUGGAUAACAUAUAUCACGAUAUCUCUCCUUAAAUAUAUCAUCAUUUGUGAUUAACAUACACCACGAUACCUCUCCUCAAAUAUAUCGAUCAAUUGAGGAUAAUUUUAAAACUUUCAUGUGUCAAAAUUAUUCUCUUUUUUUUUUCUUAAAAAGUUAAUAGAUCCUUAAUCAAGGUUAAAAUUGUCAUUUCAAGCUAUAUAAAAAGUAGUGUUUCCCUAAAAGGGACAGUAAUCAUACAGUGCUUUUAUAUACCCCUUGUAUAAAAUACAGCAAAAACAAAUACAAAAAGCCAUUUGUGCAUUAAAUUCUUCUUCCAAACUUUUAAAAGAAGAAGCCAAAAUAUUAAAAUACUGUAAAUAUUUUUUUGAAAUGACUGGAAAGUGAUUUAUAGGGAUUAACAAAAGAAAAAAAAUACAGAGGGGAGUGGGGUGGGGGUGGGAGGUAAGGGGGCAGAGAAGGAAUGAUGGAUAUUCCUGGCUUGUUGCAGAGAAUGGAAUGAUGCAAAAUUGGAAGAAGUCAUAAAGAAGAGAGAGUCAGAAAGACUUUCACAAUAACUCCAAAUUUAUUUUUUACCCCAGGGCUUUGCCUUAUUACUUUUCUCCAUCUGUCUCAGUUUAUGUGAACACAAUUUAAUUGAGAGAAAAAUAUUGAAACAUCUAUAAAUUUAAUGUAAAUUAUUAGUUUCGUCCAUAACCUAUUGACAAUCUUCAAGACAACACUUACUUGAUUAACUAAACUUAGAUACAUCCCUCAUCUGCCACAUGACAUAAUAAUUUAUAUCAAACUCUAAUAGGAGUAUGAGAGUCUUAAUUAAAAGCCGAGAGAAAUAUUGAAAACGCUCGUAAACUUUACGAGAAUUUAUAAGUGUAUAUCAGUCAUGUUCAAGAUUGAGUCAUUGAGUCAAGUUCUAACUAAAUUUAGAUACAAAUUCGAUCUACCACAUGACAUAAUAAGUAGUCUCAAACUCUAAUACGAGCAUGUGAUUAUUAAUAAAAAACCGAGAAAAAUAUUGCAAACACUCGUAAAUUUGACGAGAAUUUAGGUAUUUCACUCAUGUUGCAAAAUCAAAUGUAUAUCUAAGUUCAGUUAGUCAAGUAAAGAGAUGUUUUUUAAAACUGUUACAGUUAAAGACCAAAACUAAUAAUUCGUGCUGAAUUUAUGAUUGUUUUUACUACUUUCCUCUUUAAUUUAACAUAAAUUUUUUUAAAAAAAUAAUCUAUAUAUAUUUGAAUGGAGUACUAUUUUUUUAAAGAAAAUUUUAAAAUUAAAUUAUUUUUAAUUAUAAAAAAUAACAUUCUUUUGAAACAAGACUUUGGGAAAAAGAUGCUAUAUAAGUUGAAACAUAGAGGAAAAUAUACUUCAUAAGAUACAUAGGACAAUUGAUAUUGGCAGUGGAUUUGCAGUCACAUGACACAGCACUUUUUCUCUUUUAUGUAUAUUUAUUUCAUGUUUUUUUUCUUCAAUUUUUAAUACUACUAGUUUUUAGCAUUGCUUUAAAUUAUAUUUCAUAAAUUAAGAAUUUAUUAGAAAUAAUCUAUCUAUUUUUAAAAGAAUAGUAAAUCAACCUACAGCCUAUUUUUCUUAAAUUUAAUUUAUGAGAUUACAUUAAGUAAAUAUUAUGUUAUUAUCUUUUUUAUUUUUCGUUGAAUAUUCAAUAUUGCUUUAAGACUUCAAUUAAUAUUGAAUUGUAUUAACAAGAUCCAUUGGAAGAAGAAACAAUUUCAUAUUUUUCCUAAUUUUGAAGGCUCAAAAACUCAAGGAUUUCUAAUUUAAAAUAAAAUUAAUCAUAUUAUAGAAACAUUUAUGUACAUUCAUUCUUUAUUUUACCAAUCAACUUAAUCAUUUAAGUUUGGACGGAUUAUUGACCAGCUUAUUCAUUAGCUCGAUCCAUUUCAAUUGAUUAAAAAUUAAGUUGAUAUGUAAUCGAAAUCGACUCAUGAAAAUCUUUGUCAAAAUAUUUCCCUUUAUGAUUUGUCUAAAUUUGACCAACCCGCCUAAUCGUCACCUCUACUUGAGUACUACAAAGUUUUUUUUUUUGUGUAUACUAAAUUUUAAUUACCAAUAUUUAAGAUUCACCUAUUUUAUUGACCAUUAGAUACUCUAUGUAUGGUAGGACAAUUGAUUGCAGUGGGAGUAGCCACAGAUCAUCAAUUUUUUUUCUGCCAUAGCCAUAGCCCCAUAUAUAGGAGUCACCACUCUAUAUUCUAGGUAAUUGUCAAUAUUGACUAAUUUGAAGCAAAUUUUUUUUUUAUAUAUAUUCUCAUCUUUUGAUCAAAUAUUUAUAGGGAUGAUAAUAGUGGAUCCUACUAUACUUUAUUUAUUUAAUAUUCAUUUAUUGAUAGUUGUGAUAUUUCAAAUUAGCUUGCCUAGCUAUCGAGUAAAUAAAUAUCAAGUAAUUUCGUCCACUAAAAUUAGGAUAAAUUAUCAGAAGAAAUUAUUAGUGUUUUUAUUUGAACUGUUGAAAAUUUGAAAAUGAGAUCUCCCGGUGCUCAAUCGACUACAUUAAUCACUAAGACAUUGCGACUAUUUAUUUCUCUCUUUUUUUAAAAAAAAAAGAUUGGGAAAAUAUUGAAACAUUACUUUGCAUUGUGUCAAUAAUACAAGAACAAAGUUAAUCAUAUUUCGAUAAAUUCAUGAAGAAAUACAGUAACAUAUUCUGUGUAGUUUUAUAUAUUUUGUUUAAAAAAGAUAAGAUGUAUAUAUGCAAAUUGUAUCAUUAUCUUCUUUUUUGGGUUUUACACUCGAUAUCCAGUAUCCACAUUAGAGUCUGACUAAAUCUGAAUUCACACCGAAAAAUUUCAUAUUGAGAUGUAAAACGCUCUCUAACAAAGACGAUUAUGUACCAAAAGGAUUUGAAUUAGUUCGACCUGAAAUCUCUGGUUAAGGACGGAUAAUUACUUAUCACUCCACCACCACAAUCGUUGUUGAUACAUCGUUAUUUUCUAAAGAUAGAAAGACCGUUUUCAAUAGCUCAAAAUAAAUUGAAAAUAUGCCAACUAGGGUUUGAAGUGUAAGUAGGUAGGGUAUAUAUAUAUAGGGUUAUAGGGAAGACCAUGAUGAUGAAGGUAUAGUAUAUUGUACUAUGUGGAUUAGAGCAAAAGGAAUGAAAUGAGUUAAAGAGAAUAGAAUUACAGGGCUACCUAUUUGAUCAGAGAAGAUCUAAAUGAAUAUCCAUCUUGAUUCAUGAAUGCAUGCUUUCUACAGUGUGACAAGAUAUAUCCUCCACACCACACCUAGCUAGUUAACUUUGCCACUUUCACAAUGUAUUCUUCUGGUGGACUAGUUUUUGGCUUGUUACACUUAGUUGCAUGUAGGAGUACUUUUUUUAUGGUUCGUUUCGUAGCUGGUUAAAGUUAUGUUGUUUUUGUAUUAUUACAAGUAGUUGCAUGUAGGAGUACUUUUUUAAGGGUCGUUUCGUAGCUGAUUAAAGUAUGCAGUCUUUGACAUGUGUUACACUUAGUUGCAUGUAGCAACAAUUUUUUAAGGAAAAAUUAUAUAUAAUAACAAAUUAUUAAUUCAAAUUAAAUGCUAUAAACAUAGUUUGAUUUAAUUGUACCACAUAGCAAACUGUUGCUAUUUUCGCCUCUCUCUUGGUGAAUCUCGCUCUCUCCCUCGCCUCUCUCACUUUUUAUACAAACACAAAUGUAUAAAAUGUAUUUGUGUUUGUAUAAAGCGAGAGAAAAUUGUAUAUAAUACAUUAUUUUCGUUCCCCUCUCUCCACUCUCCUAGAUCUCGUUCGCCACUCUCCCAGAUCUCGCUCUCCAUUCUCUCCCUCGCCUCUCUCGCUUAUACAAACAGAAAUGUAUAAAUUGUGUUUCUGUUUGUAUAAAGGGAGAGAAAAUUGUAUAUACACAUACAAAUACAUAUAUCUUCGUCCUAUACACUUAUAAUUAUACAAUACAAAUAUUUCCCUGCCCAGUUCUCUUUUGUCUUUCUCGCUUUAUACAAACACAAAUUAUACAAUUGAUCUUUUGUAUAUGUAUACCGAAACAUAUUAUAUACAACUGCUUUCUUUUGUAUAUGUAUAGCAAAAUAUACAUAUUUAUGUUUGCUAUGAUGCGCAAUUAUGCAAACUAUAGCUAUAACAUACAAAUAUGAUUUUUGUGCUUGCUACAUGUGAAAAUUGCUCAUUUUUUAAGGGUCAUUUUGUAGUUGGUUAAAGUUAUGCAUAAAUUAAUUAUAAUAUAUAUAUAUACAUUAUUAUGUUAUUAGAUAUAAUAUAAUGAUGAUUAUAUUAUUACUAUAAAAUUCUUUACUUAUUGUAGUGGUAUGAUGCAAUUAUAAAUUUGUUAUUGAGUAUCCUACAUCUAUUAAGAAAAUUAUUUAAACAUUAAUUAAAGGAUAAUUUGUUGAUAUUAUCCUUGUGUUUCUUUCCAAACUUUUUCUUAAAAUUGGAGAUAGCUGAAGGCUCAUUAAAGAGAAGGAUAGUUUUGAAGAGAAACAAAAGACCAAUUAAUUCAUUUUGGACCAUAUAUAUAUAUAUGAAGUGCUAAAUCCAGAAAAUUUGGUCAGAAUUUAGUCAGAAAAUUUAAAAAAUUAUAAUAUAUAUAUUUUUUUAAACAAACUGAUCUUUUUUCCAUUUUUUUAGUUAAAAGGUAUUAAAGUUAAAAGGGUAAAAAUGUUUAAAACGGUAAACUUACAUAGAUAAAAUAUCAUUCUGGCCAAAAAGAUUUUUCAUAUAUAUAUACAUAUAUUAGUUAUGCGAGUUUCUAAGUUGCAAAAACUAAAUAUCAUAUUAGGUGUGUUGAAUUUUAUACAUAGUAAAAAAGAGUAAUUAUUAUCAAACACGAUAUUACUUACGUAUAGUUUAAUACCCGCAUAACUUGGCUCGUACCAAAUUACUUAUGUAGAAUAUAAUGUCACGUAAAAUAUAUGUGUAUCUUUCUUCAAAUUUACACAAGUGAAACAGUCUGCUUAAGCACAUCCAAAAUAAAAGAACAUAAAAUUAAAUAAAUAAUUAUCCUAAAUAUAAAAGACACACAAAAGCUUUAUUCUUAUACUAUAAUCAGCAUUAAAUAAGUAGGGCCCUUGGAUGUUUGAAGUGUAAAAUCUAAUUAAGCUAGUUGAAUGAGAUUAGUCGAUUUAAGACUAGAAUACUCAACCAUAUUGGAAGUACCAAAAAGUAGAAAAAAUGUCAUGAUUAAGGGUGUAUUGGAGGAAAAUAUUUUUAAAUUUUUUAAAUAUUUUAUUAGUAAUUUUUUUAAUUAGUAUUUUUUUGAAGAAAUUAUUUUUUAUUAGAAUAAAAAAUAACUUAGUAAGAACAGAAAAAUUAAUUCCACAUUAAUGGUAUCUUCUUCACUCCAGAACCUUACUUGUGAGAGUGAAUUUAGAGGUUAAAAUCAAGACAUGUGAAUUUGUAGUCUCUCCUUAAAACUAAAUAUAAUUGAAUGCUGAAUUAUUUACCUAAAGGACUACAGCCCCCACACUCUUAUCCCUACCUCAAUCUUCGUAAUAAUAUUUAUCUAAAUUAUAUAUAAAAUAUUUUCUAAUACUUAUUCAUCAAACAUAAAAAAAAAAAAAAACACUCACUAAAUUUUCCUACAAUCACACAUGAAGAAAUAUUGUUUUUCAUACCAAACAUACCCUAAGAAAUCGUUUAGUAUGAGAUAUAAUGUAUAAUAAUCCUAGAAUAAAAUAUAUGAUUAUUUUAUCAUGUGUUAAGUUAAAGAUAGUAGAUAGUCAUUAAAUUAUUUAUCUCAUAAUUUAUAUUAUAGUGAUAAAAUAAAUCACACAAUAUACAUAAUAAAAUAAUUUAUCUCAAAAUAACGUAUUUCCAACUAAAUGAGCCUUGAAUCAACAAUGAUUGAAUAUAAUGGGGUCCAUGUCCCUAGACUUUUUGUCCUCCAGGUUACAAAAUUAGGUAAGAUGGGAUUGAAAUUUUUAGUAACACAAAAUUUUAAAAACUAUAUUUAAUGGAAAGAACUUUUUUAGUCACAUCUAUGUGAUUUGAAAAUUGAAAUAUGCAUAGUUUGACUUGAUAAAUUAUUCCAUUGCCUUCACAUCUAAAUCUAAGGUAAGCAUUACGUACACUCUUUUUCUUAAGAUUCUUUUUCAUUUUUAGAAAUCAAAAACAUUUCGUGUUUGAUAUUUAUUUUGAAAUUAAAGAUUCCAACUAGUUAGGUUUUAGGUUGUGCGAAAUUGUUGUUAAAAAGGAAUUAUCUAUCCUACUAUAACUUUUAAAAACACUUUCUUUAAUAAAUAAAAAAUCCAUUUUUUAUUUGGCAUUCAAUAUUUAUUUGAGCAUUCCAACUAAUUAGGUUUUAUGUUGUGCAAAAUUACUAAUUAGGUUUUACACUGUGCAAAAUUUAUUAAAGAAAAGUUUUUCAAACUUAAAGAGGUUCACAAUUCGAAUUCAUAACCCUCAAAAUUGGCCAAUUGGACUUUUUCAAAGUUAAAAUUUUACACUAGAUAAAUAUGAAUGAAUUAAUAUUUUUAAUUUUAAUCUUAGCUUCUUUUUUUUUAUAAAAAGAAUACCAAUGAUCUAUUGUAUGUCCAAGUCUUAUUCUUCUAAUUAUUUUUUUUCGAAAGUUGUUGAUUAUGCCUAACUAAUCGUGAUGCAAAUAAUGACGAAAGAUUAUUCAUGUAGAAACAAAAUAUUAAUAAAGCAUGAAAUAAAAUAAAGUUAUAUUUUAUUUGGAAAUUUAUUUUUCCUUUAUCAUACUAAUCAGACCAACUAUAGGAAGAAUAUAAGCAUUUUCUCUCUAUUUUUAUAUUUUUCCAUUCAACUUUUUAGCCUUUUAAAUUUAAAGUGUGAAUAAAAAGUGAGAGAAUGGAAAAAACUCUAAUUUAACGCUUUCAUACAUUAUUGAAUAAUGAAAAAUUCCAGCUACCUUAUGACGAAUAUUUCUAGAUCAUAUGACAAAAAUACAUAUAAAAUUGUAAAUAAAACUUUCACCUGAAGUUUAUUGAACAUGAAUGAACACAAACAAAAGUAAUCCUUUUUGCCUCGGGUUCAGCCCAUGGAAAUAAUAACAUUUUCGGUCACUCAAUUAUAUGUAAAUUUUAAAUUUAAUUUUUGUGAUAUUUAACUAAACACAUUUAACUUGUAAUCAGUUGAAAUGUACUAUCUUUUUAUUAUCUCUUUGCUUGUGAAAUUCACAUAAUUUUAAAAGCAUUAAACAUUAUGUCAUUUAAUUAUUCAUGUGUUUUUUUUUAUGUUUAGCAUGUGUUGCUACUUUAUAUUUGAGGAUGUUUUAAUCAAAGGUAGGAGCUAGAUGUCCGAAUAUGGAUUCGAUCGAACCCAUUAGGUUUUACUCAAACAUUAUAUUUGUAGUAAGAAAAUUCAUUAAAUAUGUACAAUACUAAAAUUAAAACGUUAUUUUUUAAAAUUCAAAACUCAUAAAGUUAAAAGCUUGAUUCUGCCUCCGAGUAUACUUCUAAAUAUAGUUUAAAUAUAAUAUAUUUCCUAUAUUAUAAAGUAAUCGAAAGCAACACAUUUAAAUAUCGAGUCAUAUAUUACAAGGACCAAAAUCAAAACAAGGGAUUGAAAGUGCUAUUAUCCCUAAUUUAAAAUGAUAUGCAUUGUAUAUUGUUACAUAGUGAGAAAUCAAAGAAAACUGAGUACAACAAGAUCCUUGAUUUGUUCCUAAAGUUGAAACAAAUGUGAAAUGAGUUAUCUUUCAUCAAUUUCCAAAGAUAGGGAAAAAAAUGAGAAAUUAAUGAGGUGAUUUGAAAUUCUUUGAUUUGUUUCUAUAGUUGGAACAAAUAUGAAAAGGGUUCAAGUUUCUAAAUAGGAAUCCCUUUUAAAUAGGGAAAAUUGUAUAAAAUAGCAAAUUAUUAAUUUAAAUUCAAUGCUAUAAAUACAAUUUCAUUUAAUUCUAAUCCGUAGCAAACUGUUUGUCAGUCGCCUCUCUCCUAGCGAAUCUCGCUCGCCUCUCUCACUUUAUACAAACACAAAAUGUAUAAAUUGUGUUUUCUGUUUGUAUAAAAGUGAGAAAAUUGUAUAUACAAAUACAAAUACAUAUAUUUUCGUCUUAUACACUUAAAAUUAUACAAAUACAGAUCUUCCCCUACCCAGUUUUCUUUUGUGUUUCUCUCUUUCUCGCUUUAUACAAACACAUAUUAUACAAUUGAUUCGUAUAUGUAUAGCGAAAUAUAUAUAUUAAUAGUCAUUCGUAUAUGUAUAGUGAAUUAUACAAAUCACAAGCUCCAUAGCAAACAUAAAAUUUGCUAUGGAGCGCAAUUAUGCAAACUACAGAUAUAACAUACAAAUUUGAUUUUUAUGUUUGGUAUAUGUGAAAGUUGUUCUAAAUAAUCGAGACUUGCUCAAUAGAAAGAUUUACAUGCAACAGAGUCUCAAUUUUGUGUAUCGGGUUAAGCAAGCCCAACCCAACAACUUACAUCCAAACAAAAAAAAAGUGAACACCUAACGCGGAAGAUUGUAUUACCAAGCAAGCCAAGACAAGAAACAAGAGUGUAACAAAUGAACAAACAAUACGAUUUUUCAACAAAGAGAAUUCAAUUGAACUCCCCCUUCAUUGGUUGUAGUUCCGCGAUUGCGUUAUUGUUAACCCAGUAGUAUAUCUUUUCUCACUCAACUUUAUUCAUGAACUACCAUAUGGAUUUGGUGUAAUCACCCGGUGCAAGUUAGGUUUUACCAAAUGAUAUUAUGAACACUUGUAUCCAGGGGCGCAUUUAUAGGCAAAAUUUGAGACACGUGAACCCAUGAUCGAAGACUAAAUGGUGCACCUAGUUGAAAAUUGAGCUACUUAAAGAGGACUAUUUUUGUUGUUGAACAGUAAUAUCUUGCAUGAAUUAUGAAAAAAUGGUACAAAACAUUAAAGCAAAAAUAUCAAACAGGUUUUAGAAUAGCAUAAAAACUGUUGAUGAGAAAACAUUAUUUGCAUUCAGGUAGAGGUUACAAAUAGUCCACCAUCUUUAUCACUCAACAGAAAUCAACUUCAAAUACAAAUCCACCAACCAGUAUUUGACAAUUUUCUUGGUUUCUGGAGACCUUGGCAAUUUUUUCAUCUUCCUGUGAAAACAAUCACCAUAGUUGAAUUCAGAUGAAGGAAAACAUGAUUUGGUAAAACACAAAGCGGAGUGGUUUGUCAACCACGACAACCACUAUAAAAGAUAAACCAACUUCAUAGUAAGUAAGAAAUCAGAUAACAAGUGGAUGUAAGAGAAGAAAAUUAUACUGCAAAUAUAUACGAGAUACACUUAAAUAAGUCUAACAAAGGGGGUACUAGAUGGAUUAGGACCAGUUCACUCACCACCAAAAUAUCGAAAAAAAGGAGCAUCUAAGUGCUAAAUCGAAAAAGAGAAAGUAGUUCAGGAGGUUGACCAACUUCCAAGAGUAAACAUUCCGAGUGUAAGAGAAUGUUAGAAGGAAGUUGAAUGACCGUGCACCAGUACUGGCACGCAAUCUUCAUUCUUAUGGUCUUCCGAGGCUAUUCAAGAUUACCUGAGUUUUUUGUAAUUUUACAGACUCCCAGAAUUACUAGCUUUAUAUUUUGAUUUGAUUUGUUUAGAAGAGUUGGUAACACCUUGGUUCUUAUUAUGGAUAGAAUCUUCUCUUUCAUCUAUCCAAAAAGGAAAGACAUAAAAGAAGGAAACAAGAAAGAGAAGAGAAGAAGAAAGAAGGAAGAAGUCAUAAUUUUGCUCUAACUAAAAUCUUGUUCCUUUCCGACUAACUGCUAAGUAAAAAACCAAAGGUUGUGAGUUUUGAGAGCACUAGAGUAAAGGGGGGAAAGGGCCAUAGAAACAGUUGUGGAAAUCUAAUGGCCCCUAAUGUUAGUUGUUUUACGCUGUUAGUUACACACGAUGUAAGCCGUACUCGUGCAACCUUCAGACUAGAGGAUUGGCAAUAUGCAACAAGUGCUUAGCAUUCAAUGGUUAAGUGAGGGAUUGGCAGCAACCUAUUUGCAGUAUACAGUGGCAGGUCAAACCUGGUCUUUAUUUCUUAACAAAUUCAGAAUUCCUUCUGUUAAGUCAUACACAGGUUAGGAGCUAUUGAGUAGGUUGGCUGUUAGGUGAAUGAGGAAAUCAGUAAGGAAGGUCUGGAAUACAGUCUCAGACUGUGUCUAUUGGGUAUUAUGGAAAGGAAAGAAUGUCAGAUGCUUUACUAAGGAAAUCAAAUACUUACAGAAGAUUAAGCUAUAGAUGCAUAUGGCUUUUGGCAUUUUGGUGUAGCUUACAGGAUGUUGAAGAUGAAAAUAGAAUAAGCUAGAUUUCAUACUCUUUACAGGAAUAGGAGCAUGUACAGCUGGAACCCCUUCUUUAUGUUUUAAUAUAAUUACCCUGGAACCAUCUUAGUGCUAAGAUUCUUAUUUUCACAUGCAUUAUUUAACUGUUCAAACAAAAAAAGUGAAAGGGAAACUUUGGUCUCCUGAAUAGAGGAAUUUGCAGGUGGAGCUUACCACACCCAUAAAAAGAAUCCCUGGGCUCCAUACAUUUGGGCUAUGUGUUAAAAGUAAUACUAAUACAGUAAUUCUAGAUCAGAAAGUUGUAUGGCGGAAGCAAAUUAGAGAUGAGCACGACAAAGACAAAAAGAGAAGGAUAGAAGGGAAAGAAAUUCUAGGAAUUCCUACCAGCGUCCUUUGGAAUACCUGGGAAUGAUAAGGUUGCUGCAAGCUUGGCAAAACACAACAAUGUAACCAGUGCAAUCCCACAAGCUUGAACAUAGAAAGAAUUAGAAUUUUAUAAACUUACUUUUCUAUACAUCUAACAGCAUCACCUUGAAAGAGUUAUAUGACUUUUUCAUUAUUUUUCGGAAAUACCUCCAUUCCACCUCGUGGAACAAUAGAGAAUCAUUUGCAGUGACCUCUUCAAGGAGAUAAAAAUGAAUUAUUUCCUGUUAUGUAAGGGCUAGACAAAUUUUUUACAUUUUAUGAUAAUUAUAGUUAAAAGAGUCUCCAGUCUGCUCAAAAGGCUUGCAACAAUAAAGUUGUUGCUGGACACACAACUGCCUAUAUCAAUUGUAACAUAAGUUACUACAUGGUAAUGAAGCAAGACUUAGAUAUUCUCUAGUCAAAGUCACUUGCAUCAGAUGCUGCACAAAUAUAAGAAGCUA